rnacentral:lncRNA from 1 species
GCCAUCAUCACCAUCAUCACCAUCAUCAUCAACAUAGGGCAGCCAUCCCUAAUUGGCCUUGAAGUUACUGUGUUGCUGAGGAUAGCUGCCGCUCAUCCCGUGUCUAUCUCCUGGAUCCUGAGAUUUCAGCCUCCCUCCCUCAGGUCCCCCAGGGUUGGCCAUCACUUCUCCAUUGCUUCUGCUCUCACAAGUCCAUACAGCCCUGCUGGUGAGGUGGCUCGCUCCCCGGCCUCCAGCCGCCAGCCCGCUCAGGAAAAGGCACUUGCUACUAAGCCUUUGAGAUCUGAGCUCAGUGUCCUGGGAAGCCACGUGGAGAAGGGAAGAACCAGCUCCUGCAAGUUGCCCUCUGACCUCCAGAUGUGUGACCUCCAGAUGUGUGACCUCCAGAUGUAUGUUGACACAUGUGCACUCCCAUAAGUAAAUAAAUAUACU